CCUACGGGCGGCAGCAGUGGGGAAUAUUGGACAAUGGGGGGAACCCUGAUCCAGCGACGCCGCGUGGAGGAUGACACUUUUCGGAGCGUAAACUCCUUUUGUUAGGGAAGAAUAAUGACGGUACCUAACGAAUAAGCACCGGCUAACUCCGUGCCAGCAGCCGCGGUAAUACGGAGGGUGCAAGCGUUACUCGGAAUCACUGGGCGUAAAGGACGCGUAGGCGGAUUAUCAAGUCUCUUGUGAAAUCCUAUGGCUUAACCAUAGAACUGCUUGGGAAACUGGUAAUCUAGAGUGAGGGAGAGGCAGAUGGAAUUGGUGGUGUAGGGGUAAAAUCCGUAGAGAUCACCAGGAAUACCCAUUGCGAAGGCGAUCUGCUGGAACUCAACUGACGCUAAUGCGUGAAAGCGUGGGGAGCAAACAGGAUUAGAUACCCGGGUAGUC
rnacentral:rRNA from 1 species